UACGAAGGGGGCUAGCGUUGCUCGGAAUUACUGGGCGUAAAGGGAGCGUAGGCGGACAUUUAAGUCAGGGGUGAAAUCCCGGGGCUCAACCUCGGAAUUGCCUUUGAUACUGGGUGUCUUGAGUGUGAGAGAGGUAUGUGGAACUCCGAGUGUAGAGGUGAAAUUCGUAGAUAUUCGGAAGAACACCAGUGGCGAAGGCGACAUACUGGCUCAUUACUGACGCUGAGGCUCGAAAGCGUGGGGAGCAAAC
rnacentral:rRNA from 1 species